rnacentral:tmRNA from 1 species
GGGGAUGUACCGGUUUCGACGGGGGUGUGGAGGCAGGAAUAGCGGGCGGAUGCGCCUACCAUCCAAAAAAUGGGCACUUUAUAAAUUAAAGAACAACGAUUCUUUAGACCUGGUAGCCGCUUAAGGCUGCCCGUCCUCCCCGAAAGUGCUGCGGUUCGGGAUAGGGCGUCGAUUAGCAGCGUCCGUGAGUGCGUAAAGCUUUGAGCGUACCAUGCACAAUGAAGCUACCUGACCCCAAGGCGUGACGGCUUGCCUUGAGUGAUGGGAAAAGGCGAUUUGAUUCGCCGGAAUAACCGUCUGCGCCCGGAGAAGUUCCUGUUAAAGUGCUUUCGGACGGGGGUUCAACUCCCCCCAUCUCCACCA